ACAAGGCGUCGAUCCCAGCGGAGUUUGUCUUUGGGAGAAAUGCCAUCAAAACUGCAUCUGCAACAAAAAAGCAGAGGAAAAAAACACAGGUGGUCCUGCACCUCCACAUUAUACCCCAGCAGAAUUGCUGGCCCUAGGGCUUAAUGUUACCAGACCCAUUGUGCAGGGCACCCCUGGGGGCAGCUCUUCCUCAGACCCACAGCCAGGGAGCAGUAGCAGCAACACUUUCAUUACUGUUAUAGAUAAUACACCAACACCAACACCAACCAGUUCCCAAGCAAGUGGUAAAUUAAGAAAGUGUAGACAGUGAAGAAACCCUUUCAGAUGGCUGUCCUUGGGAAGAAGUACCUGUAAGUGUUAUCUUAAAUUGCAUGUACUCAUGUAGCUGUAAUAUUUCUCAGAGUAAGACUGCAAGAGUCCACAUCAACAGAGAGGCCUACGUCUGCUACUGAGUCUGCACAGAAAAGUGGUACAGAGGCACAGGGUGACAUCCGUUCCUUAUAUAAAAGGAGUCUUGUGACAAAUAUUGAAAAUAUGGAACUUAAAGAGCAAAAACUCCUACAAGAGACUGAAAUUGACAACUUGAGGAAAACAAAAGUUAAACUGGAGAUAGAGUUGCUACAGAGAGAACUUCAGAGUAAGUGCUAAGUCACUUUCACAGAGACUAAUAUUGUUGACUGUACAUAACAAUAUCUCUUAUUGCAGGUAAAAGAUGACUGAUUGCUGCCUUUGACUGGGAGGAAUAAAAAAUACAGAAAUAAAAUACAAAUGGGCCUAAGCAUGUUUGUGUCUUUUUUUCAGAAAGGUCAAUCAAAAAUGGUAUUCCACAAUUCUGUCCCGUGCUGCUCUUCAACUAGUUUGGUCCAGGUGCACUGUCUGGAGGUCAUCAUCAGGUUGCACCUCCAACACAGGGGUCCUCUCUUUUCUGAUGGUGGCAAUGUUGUGUAGUACACAGCAUGCAACAAUAAUGUCGCAGGCCCUGUCAGACUUUUCAGACACUGAAAUCUUCCCUCAGUUGCCCGAAGGUCAUUUCAAUGCGUGCCCUUGUCCUGGCUAGAGCUGCACUGUAAUGGGUUUGUGGACCGGGGUUUGGAUCAGGGAAUGGAAUCAUGAAAUACUGCCUGCAGGCAUAGCCCCUGUCUCCAA